AGAGUUUGAUCAUGGCUCAGAUUGAACGCUGGCGGCAGGCCUAACACAUGCAAGUCGAGCGGUAACAUUUCUAGCUUGCUAGAAGAUGACGAGCGGCGGACGGGUGAGUAAUGCUUGGGAAUAUGCCUUAGGGUGGGGGACAACAGUUGGAAACGACUGCUAAUACCGCAUAACGUCUACGGACCAAAGGGGGCUUCGGCUCUCGCCCUUAGAUUAGCCCAAGUGGGAUUAGCUAGUUGGUGAGGUAAUGGCUCACCAAGGCGACGAUCCCUAGCUGGUUUGAGAGGAUGAUCAGCCACACUGGAACUGAGACACGGUCCAGACUCCUACGGGAGGCAGCAGUGGGGAAUAUUGCACAAUGGGCGCAAGCCUGAUGCAGCCAUGCCGCGUGUGUGAAGAAGGCCUUAGGGUUGUAAAGCACUUUCAGUAAGGAGGAAAGGUUAGUAGUUAAUACCUGCUAGCUGUGACGUUACUUACAGAAGAAGCACCGGCUAACUCCGUGCCAGCAGCCGCGGUAAUACGGAGGGUGCGAGCGUUAAUCGGAAUUACUGGGCGUAAAGCGUACGCAGGCGGUUUGUUAAGCGAGAUGUGAAAGCCCCGGGCUCAACCUGGGAACUGCAUUUCGAACUGGCAAACUAGAGUAUGAUAGAGGGUGGUAGAAUUUCAGGUGUAGCGGUGAAAUGCGUAGAGAUCUGAAGGAAUACCGAUGGCGAAGGCAGCCACCUGGGUCAAUACUGACGCUCAUGUACGAAAGCGUGGGGAGCAAACGGGAUUAGAUACCCCGGUAGUCCACGCCGUAAACGAUGU
rnacentral:rRNA from 1 species